GCUGAAGAACGUAGCGAAAUGCGAUAAGUAAUGUGAAUUGCAGAAUUCAGUGAAUCAUCGAAUCUUUGAACGCACAUUGCGCCCGCCAGUAUUCUGGCGGGCAUGCCUGUUCGAGCGUCAUUUCAACCAUCAAGCCCCCGGCUUGUGUUGGGGACCUGCGGCUGCCGCAGGCCCUGAAAAGCAGUGGCGGGCUCGCUGUCACACCGAGCGUAGUAGCAUACAUCUCGCUCUGGGCGUGCUGCGGGUUCCGGCCGUUAAACCACCUUCAUAACCCAAGGUUGACCUCGGAUCAGGUAGGAAGACCCGCUGAACUUAAGCAUAUCAAUAAGCGGAGGA
rnacentral:misc_RNA from 1 species